GACGAACGCUGGCGGCGUGCCUAAUACAUGCCAGUCGAGCGAAGUUUUUCUGGUGCUUGCACUAGAAAAACUUAGCGGCGAACGGGUGAGUAACACGUAAAGAACCUGCCUCAUAGACUGGGACAACUAUUGGAAACGAUAGCUAAUACCGGAUAACAGUAUUUCUCGCAUGAGAGAUAUUUAAAAGUUGGUUAUGCUAACACUAUGAGAUUGCUUUGCGGUGCAGUGGAUGGUUGGUUGGGUAAAGGCCCACCAAGGCGACGAUGCAUAGCCGACCUGAGAGAGUGAUCGGCCACACUGGAACUGAGACACGGCCCAGACGCCUACGGGAGGCAGCAGUAGGGAAUCUUCCGCAAUGGGCGGAAGCCUGACGGAGCAACGCCGCGUGAGUGAAGAAGGAUUUCGGUUCGUAAAGCUCGGUUGUUAGGGAAGAAUGGAUAUGUAGUAACUAUACAUGUAAGAGACGGUACCUAACAAGAAAGCCACGGCUAACUACGUG
rnacentral:rRNA from 1 species